ACUGGGAGUCAGGAUGGCGUGCUGUGCAUCUGGGAUGUCAGACAGGGAAGCAUGCCAUUUGCGCUGAUGGAAGCACAUUCUGCUGAAAGUUAGUAAUGGCUUUACUUUGUAUCAGCCCGUCUGUUUUUUAGCGAACCGCCAGAUACUUUUAAUACCUUUCCACUAGAUGACGGACAUGCUGUGCAGACGUUAUGGUUGUUGUAUUCGGUGAGUGCCUUAAAGGUAGGGAGAAACUAACGCUGCUCUUUUGCGUCCCAGUGUGGGAGGUCCACUUUCACCCCUCUAACCCGGACCACCUGUUCACGUGCUCUGAGGAUGGCUCUCUGUGGCACUGGGAGAACUCCACAGGCACCGACACCCCCUCCUUCCUGCAAGGUGGGAGGAACACUACCAUCACGUCACGCAGCACAGUUGCCCCUCACAGCAUCAACCAGUCCUUGAUUAGCUCCUGGCUGAGCAGUGACUCUUCCAAGGGCCGUCUGGAGACGACAAACAUGCUUCCUGGCGAGACAAUGUCUGUGAACAGUCUGGACGUGCUGGGGCAGCACCUGGUCUGUGGAACUGAUGGAGAAGCUAUUUAUGUCAGCAGACAUGUGCCAGUAUAA
rnacentral:lncRNA from 1 species